rnacentral:rRNA from 1 species
UACGUAGGGUGCGAGCGUUGUCCGGAAUUAUUGGGCGUAAAGAGCUUGUAGGCGGUUUGUCGCGUCUGCUGUGAAAAUCCGGGGCUCAACCCCGGACUUGCAGUGGGUACGGGCAGACUAGAGUGUGGUAGGGGAGAUUGGAAUUCCUGGUGUAGCGGUGAAAUGCGCAGAUAUCAGGAGGAACACCGGUGGCGAAGGCGGGUCUCUGGGCAACAACUGACGCUGAGGAGCGAAAGCGUGGGGAGCGAACAGG